rnacentral:lncRNA from 1 species
UAUUGUGUUCAGCUAGAAUUGUUUAGUUUCAUCAACUACACAAAAUCAUUUGGAUUUUGUGUAUCUAGAUAAGAACAUAUGCUUGGUUUCAUUGGAAUAUUAUGGAUUAUUAGUGGAUUCAUGAAUUCCCUGAAUGACCUUAAUAUCUAAGGCAUUUUUAUUUCACCCACUACUUCCCUUGUGGAAAUACCAUUAUAUCAAGGGUUUAAAACAUUUCCACAAACAAGACAUAUUUUCCUUAUCUAGAAAACCUCCCCAUAGGCAUCCAUGACAUUAAAGAGAAACUAAUCAAAGCUCAAAAUGAUUAAAUUUGCAGACUAUUUCUCUCUCUGGCAAUUCCAUUAAAAAGGCAAAAUAAACAAAAGAAUAUAUCCAUGGUAAUACUGAAAAUGAAGGAAUAAUAUCCUCAAAUUGAAGGAAGAGACAUAUACAUGGAUCAAACUCAGGACCUUGCACUUGCGAGGAGGUUCAGUACCACUGAGCUAAAUUUUAUAUACACCUUAAACAUGUGGCUUGAAAACAAUGUUACAAAUAUUUUCAUGGUAAGUAUAUUUGACUGUGACCCCGUACAGAAUUCUAGUGUGGGAUUUUCCAGUUGUCUUCAGAUUUUGGAGCAUUUUGGACUUUAGACUUUCAUUUUA